CUUUUUAAAUACUCUUUAAUUCUAAUUAUCCACAUUAUAUGUUUAAAAUUACAAAAUAAAAGUAUAUUUAGAUAUAUUUUAUAUAAGACUACAAGAUUUGGAAGUUAUUCUUUACUUUUUUAAAUUUUGUAUCAACUAAAAAUCAGACAAAUAAAUUUAAAAGGAGGAAAUAUCAAAUAGUGGCCACAUCAUUGAGUGCUUUUAGUUAUGUAAAUUAUUCCGAAUAUAACCUUAUAAUCUUUGAACAUACACUACUAUUGUAGCGAUUUAAAAGAUAGUUGUAGAGUUUAAUAUGUUAUUUAGUCACGAUAUUCAUUCUUUUUAUUACAACAUCAAAUUUCUUUAAUUACACUUUUAUAAUAUUCACUAUUUAUUCAUGAUCUUUGAGUUAUCCAUCAUGCUAACCCCCCCCCCCCCCCCCCCCCCUUCUUAAAUUUAUUUUUUGUGGAUCAAGAAGCAUCAAUUUGCUCACUAGAAAUUGAUAGUGUUGUGCCAUCAAUUUUGUAAACGCAACAGCUAUUUGAAGAUCACUUAACACGUGGAAGAAUAAUGACCCCUAUAAAAUGAUGAUAGCCCUGUGCUUCUUGAUGUUUGCAUGUAUAUCUGAUGAAUUUCUUUCUUAUGUUGCGUUAAGAAGCAAAUUGUUGCCACUUUUGGAUUUUGUUUUCAUGUGCUUCCUACCUGUACACAUUUCUUUAUUUCUUUUUGAGAAAAUGGUCUAUUACCCCCACCCCAUCCCAAUCUAUAGUCGAAAUUCUAACUACACACUCAACCUUCACGGAAGUUUCAUUACCCCCUAAACAUUUUAUUUACUGUAUUUAGUACCCCCUCCCCCAAUUGUUGACCUGUCAUGGGAGAUGAGAACACCCCCAGUACGCGCGUCAAUUGCGGCCUUAACACUUCAAAUUCAUUAUUUUAAGUGCCACGUCAUUAUUUUUAAUUUUAUAGUAAUGCUAUCUUCUCCAAUUAAUAAAGAGAAACCCCAACAGUAAUUUUACAACUCCAAACGCCAUCUUCCUCAUGCAAGCCUUCAUCUGCUCCAUUUUUUUUCAAUUUCUCUCAAAAGAACUUAGAGUUAAUCCCAAUUUCUUGUUCAAUUCUUGAAGUUGUGAUUUGUAAUCAUGUCCAAUUUUAGGGUUCGUAAUUUGUUGAUUGAUUUUGUCGAAAUUCUUCAAAUGAAAAAUGCGGAAUUGAAUAAGCUGUGUAUGGAUGAAUCAAACCUACUGUUCAAUGUUGUAGUGAGAUGCAAAAAUGGAAUUUUGCUGAACUUGCAAACUUCAUGAUCAAAUUCAAAUCUGGGAAGAAGAUUUUGGUUUUGACCCUACUAUGGUGUUCAAAUUGUAAUCUUUUUCUAUGGAGGAUAAAGAAAAAGUCGAUUCAAGAUCAAAUUUUAUCCUUUCAAGAUUAGUGAACAAAAUCAAAGAGUUAGAAUAAGAUUUGUGGCUUAAAUAGGUCCAAAUUGACAAGUUGACUUUGGAGAGGAGACUCAAUGGAAGAUGAAAAUGGUGUAUGUUUAAUAGGAAGACAUUUUUUUGUAUUUUGAUUUGUAUUGUUGCCAUGUUCAUUGGCAAUAAAUCUGUUGAAAGUAGUUAAUUGAUUGUUUAUGGUGUAAAUUUUGUAUAUCUACCUAUAUAUAUCGGAUUAUGGUAUGUUAUGGUGUUUUA